rnacentral:rRNA from 1 species
GUAGGGAAUAUUGCGCAAUGGACGAAAGUCUGACGCAGCGACGCCGCGUGAGUGAUGAAGGCCUUAGGGUCGUAAAGCUCUGUUGAAUGGGAAGAAAAAAAUGACGGUACCAUUCGAGGAAGGACCGGCUAACUUCGUGCCAGCAGCCGCGGUAAUACGAGGGGUCCUAGCGUUGUUCGGAAUCAUUGGGCGUAAAGGGUGUGUAGGUGGCCAUGUAAGUCAGGUGUGAAAGCCCCGGGCUCAACCCGGGAAGUGCACUUGAUACUGCGUGGCUUGAGUACCGAAGAGGGUAGUGGAAUUCCAGGUGUAGUGGUGAAAUACGUAGAUAUCUGGAGGAACACCGGUGGCGAAGGCGACUCACUGGCCCGUUACUGACGCUGAGGCGCGAAAGCGUGGGGAGCAAACAGGAUUAGAAACCCGUGUAGUCC